GGAGUCGGCCGGACAGUCGCGUCGCGCGCGAGCGCAUCGAGGAAAGUCCGGGCUCCACAGGGCAGGGUGCCAGGUAACGCCUGGGCAGCGCGAGCUGACGGCCAGUGCAACAGAGAGCAGACCGCCGAUGGCCUCGCAAGAGGAUCAGGUAAGGGUGAAAGGGUGCGGUAAGAGCGCACCGCGUACGGGGCCAACGCCGUACGGCACGGUAAACCCCACCCGGAGCAAGACCGAAUAGGGGAACGAUAACGCGGCCCGCGUUGUUCCCGGGUAGGUUGCUGGAGCCAGGCGGCGACGCCUGGCCGAGAGGAAUGACUGUCGCGCCGCAAGGCGUACAGAACCCGGCUUACAGGCCGACUCCGCCU
rfam:Frateuria sp. Soil773 contig_9, whole genome shotgun sequence.